CAGCCGCAGCUCUGCUCUUUGCUUAGUGAGCAAGUGGAUUCAGAUGCACAAAGCAUAAGCCAUGGAUGCGCUGGCUCCCUCCCUCCGAGGCUACUUCUCAGGGCUGGAAGUCCCGUCAGUUCUGCUGAAUGCUACGUCCCAGGUGUGUGAUGGCGGCUGCAAUCUGUCUUGUGGGUAUUAAUGCAAUCUUCAACGGUGGCUCCUGUUCUCCAGCUGUUCUGCAAAACUGGAGCGUGCCGGCUUGAAAAAACCCUGCCCAGUUUGGAGCCCUUCAAGACUUUGCCACAGCCUCUAUCACACAUCUGUUUUUCUCGAAGAAAAAAAAAAUAUAAUAAAAAUGUUUUACUCUUUUACACUGUA